AAGAGAAAAAAAACAACAACAUUUUUUCAACAGUUUGAGAAGGUGCACCAUUUGUGGAGGUACUGUAAUACCA